rnacentral:rRNA from 1 species
CGUAGGGGGCAAGCGUUGUCCGGAAUCAUUGGGCGUAAAGCGCGUGUAGGCGGCCAGAAAAGUCCGCUGUGAAAACUCGAGGCUCAACUUCGAGCUGUCGGUGGAAACUUUCUGGCUAGAGUCCGGAAGAGGAGAAUGGAAUUCCUGGUGUAGCGGUGAAAUGCGCAGAUAUCAGGAAGAACACCCGUGGCGAAGGCGGUUCUCUGGGACGGUACUGACGCUGGGACGCGAAAGCGUGGGGAGCGAACAGGAUUAGAUACCCUGGUAGUCCACGCCGUAAACGAUGGGUGCUAGGUGUGGGGGGUGUCGACUCCCUCCGUGCCGAAGCUAACGCAUUAAGCACCCCGCCUGGGGAGUACGGCCGCAAGGCUA